rnacentral:rRNA from 1 species
AGUGCAUGUGGUGGAUGCCUUGGCAGUCAGAGGCGAUGAAAGACGUGAUAGCCUGCGAAAAGCUCCGGGGAGGCGGCAAAUAUCCUUUGAUCCGGAGAUGUCUGAAUGGGGGAACCCACCUACUUUAAGGUAGGUAUUGCAACAUGAAUACAUAGUGUUGCAAGGCGAACGAGGGGAAGUGAAACAUCUCAGUACCCUUAGGAAAAGAAAUCAAUUGAGAUUCCCUCAGUAGCGGCGAGCGAACGGGGAUCAGCCCAUUAAGUUAUGUGUGUUUUAGUGGAACGCUCUGGGAAGUGCGAACGUAGAGGGUGAUAUUCCCGUACACGAAAGGGCACACAUAAUGAUGACGAGUAGGGCGAGGCACGUGAAACCUUGUCUGAAUAUGGGGGGACCAUCCUCCAAGGCUAAAUACUCCUGACUGACCGAUAGUGAACCAGUACCGUGAGGGAAAGGCGAAAAGAACCCCUGUGAGGGGAGUGAAAUAGAUCCUGAAACCGCAUGCAUACAAGCAGUGGGAGCACCUUCGUGGUGUGACUGCGUACCUUUUGUAUAAUGGGUCAGCGACUUAUAUUCAGUAGCGAGGUUAACCGUAUAGGGGAGCCGUAGAGAAAUCGAGUCUUAAUAGGGCGUUUAGUUGCUGGGUAUAGACCCGAAACCAGGCGAUCUAUCCAUGAGCAGGUUGAAGGUUGGGUAACACUAACUGGAGGACCGAACCCACUGUCGUUGAAAAGCCAGGGGAUGACUUGUGGAUAGGGGUGAAAGGCUAAUCAAGCCUGGUGAUAGCUGGUUCUCCCCGAAAGCUAUUUAGGUAGCGCCUCGGACGAAUACCAUAGGGGGUAGAGCACUGUUUCGGCUAGGGGGUCAUCCCGACUUACCAAACCGAUGCAAACUCCGAAUACCUAUGAGUACUAUCCGGGAGACAGACUGCGGGUGCUAACGUCCGUAGUCAAGAGGAAAACAAUCCAGACCGCCAGCUAAGGCCCCAAAAUCAUAGUUAAGUGGGAAACGAUGUGGGAAGGCAUAGACAGCUAGGAGGUUGGCUUAGAAGCAGCCACCCUUUAAAGAAAGCGUAAUAGCUCACUAGUCGAGUCGGCCUGCGCGGAAGAUGUAACGGGGCUAAAACUAUGUGCCGAAGCUGCGGAUGUAUACUUUGUAUACGUGGUAGGGGAGCGUUCUGUAAGCCGAUGAAGGUGUGUUGAGAAGCAUGCUGGAGGUAUCAGAAGUGCGAAUGCUGACGUGAGUAACGACAAAACGGGUGAAAAACCCGUUCGCCGAAAGACCAAGGGUUCCAGUCCAACGUUAAUCGGGGCUGGGUGAGUCGACCCCUAAGGCGAGGCCGAAAGGCGUAGUCGAUGGGAAAAUGGUUAAUAUUCCAUUACUUCUGUGUAAUGCGAUGAGAGGACGGAGAAGGCUAAAUCAGCCUGGCGUUGGUUGUCCAGGUGAAAGGAUGUAGGCAUGUAUCUUAGGCAAAUCCGGGGUACUCUAUGCUGAGAUCUGAUAGCAAGCUGUACUUGUACAGCGAAGUGGUUGAUGCUAUGCUUCCAGGAAAAGUCUCUAAGCUUCAGUUACACAGGAAUCGUACCCGAAACCGACACAGGUGGUCAGGUCGAGUAGACCAAGGCGCUUGAGAGAACUCUGCUGAAGGAACUAGGCAAAAUGGUACCGUAACUUCGGGAGAAGGUACGCUGUUGUUGGUGAUGGAACUCGCUUCCUGAGCUGACGACAGCCGCAGAAACCAGGCCGCUGCAACUGUUUAUUAAAAACAUAGCACUCUGCAAACACGAAAGUGGACGUAUAGGGUGUGAUGCCUGCCCGGUGCUGGAAGGUUAAUUGAUGGGGUUAGCGUAAGCGAAGCUCUUGAUCGAAGCCCCAGUAAACGGCGGCCGUAACUAUAACGGUCCUAAGGUAGCGAAAUUCCUUGUCGGGUAAGUUCCGACCUGCACGAAUGGCAUAAUGAUGGCGGCGCUGUCUCCAGCAGAGGCUCAGUGAAAUCGAAAUCGCUGUGAAGAUGCAGUGUACCCGCGGCUAGACGGAAAGACCCCGUGAACCUUUACUGCAGCUUGACACUGAACUUUGACCUUACUUGUGUAGGAUAGGUGGGAGGCUUUGAAGCUGGAACGCUAGUUCCAGUGGAGCCGUCCUUGAAAUACCACCCUGGUAAUGUUGAGGUUCUAACUCUGUCCCGUGAUCCGGGACGAGGACCGUGUCUGGUGGGUAGUUUGACUGGGGCGGUCUCCUCCUAAAGAGUAACGGAGGAGUACGAAGGUGCGCUCAGCGUGGUCGGAAAUCACGCGUAGAGUAUAAAGGCAAAAGCGCGCUUAACUGCGAGACCCACAAGUCGAGCAGGUACGAAAGUAGGUCUUAGUGAUCCGGUGGUUCUGUAUGGAAGGGCCAUCGCUCAACGGAUAAAAGGUACUCUGGGGAUAACAGGCUGAUACCGCCCAAGAGUUCAUAUCGACGGCGGUGUUUGGCACCUCGAUGUCGGCUCAUCUCAUCCUGGGGCUGAAGCAGGUCCCAAGGGUAUGGCUGUUCGCCAUUUAAAGAGGUACGCGAGCUGGGUUUAGAACGUCGUGAGACAGUUCGGUCCCUAUCUACCGUGGGCGCUGGAAAUUUGAGAGGAUCUGCUCCUAGUACGAGAGGACCAGAGUGGACGAACCUCUGGUGUACCGGUUGUGACGCCAGUCGCAUCGCCGGGUAGCUAUGUUCGGAAGGGAUAACCGCUGAAAGCAUCUAAGCGGGAAGCCUACCUCAAGAUAAGAUUUCCCUAGGACUUUAUGUCCUCUAAAGAGCCGUUCGAGACUAGGACGUUGAUAGGUUGGAUGUGGAAGCAUAGUGAUAUGUGAAGCUGACCAAUACUAAUUGCUCGUGAGGCUUGACU